UUCGCAAUGCCCGAAAGGGUGACGAAGCGACGCCGCGUGUGGGAAGAAGGCCUUCGGGUUGUAAACCACUGUCGGGAGUUAAGAAAUGCAAGGAUAUUAAUAGUGUCUUUGUUUGACUAAGGCUCCGGAGGAAGCCACGGCUAACUCUGUGCCAGCAGCCGCGGUAAUACAGAGGCGGCAAGCGUUGUUCGGAGUUAUUGGGCGUAAAGAGCACGUAGGCGGCUAUGUAAGUCGGUUGUGAAAGCCUUCCGCUCAACGGAAGAACAGCAUCCGAUACUACAUGGCUUGAGUGCGGGAGGGGAGGGUGGAACUUCUGGUGGAGCGGUGAAAUGCGUAGAUAUCAGAAGGAACGCCGGCGGCGAAAGCGGCUCUCUGGCCCAUAACUGACGCUGAGUGUGCGAAAGCUAGGGGAGCAAACGGGAUUAGAUACCCCGGUAGUCUUAGCCGUAAACGAUGGGCACUAAGUAGAGGGGUUUU
rnacentral:rRNA from 1 species